ACAAAGACAAUGAUAGGGAAGAGUAAAUAGGAAGUAUUUUUUAGAGAGUGAGAUUUUGGUGAAAACUCAUAAAUAUGACUAUUGAAGGUAGCCUUGGAGUCGUGAGCUGAAACUAAGUAGGCUUUACCGGUAAAACCGUUAUUACUUUGAGUAAAAAAUUGGGUGGUACCGCGCGACCAAACUUCUCGCCCCAAGC
rnacentral:ncRNA from 1 species